rnacentral:misc_RNA from 1 species
GAUGAAGAACGUAGCGAAAUGCGAUAAGUAAUGUGAAUUGCAGAAUUCAGUGAAUCAUCGAAUCUUUGAACGCACCUUGCGCCCUUUGGCCAUUCCGAAGGGCAUGCCUGUUUGAGUAUCAUGAACACCUCAACUCUUCAUGGUUUUCCGUGAUGAGCUUGGACUUUGGGGGUCUUGCUGGCCUAUGGUCAGCUCCUCUAAAAUAAAUCAGCUUGCGAGUGUUUGGUGGGUAUCACAGGUGUGAUAACUAUCUACGCUUGUGGUUUUCCACCAGGUAACCUUCAGCAGUGGAGGUUCGCUGGAGCUCACAGAUGUGUCUCUCCUCAGUGAGGACAGCUCUUUGAAUGUUUGAUCUCAAAUCAGGUAGGACUACCCGCUGAACUUAAGCAUAUCAAUAAGCGGAGGA